rnacentral:rRNA from 1 species
GAAAGAUGGCUUUGGCUAUCACUCUGGGAUGGACCUGCGGUGCAUUAGCUAGUUGGUAAGGUAAUGGCUUACCAAGGCGAUGAUGCAUAGCCGAGUUGAGAGACUGAUCGGCCACAAUGGAACUGAGACACGGUCCAUACUCCUACGGGAGGCAGCAGUAGGGAAUCUUCCACAAUGGGCGCAAGCCUGAUGGAGCAACACCGCGUGAGUGAAGAAGGGUUUCGGCUCGUAAAGCUCUGUUGUUGGAGAAGAACGCGCGUGAGAGUAACUGUUCACGCAGUGACGGUAUCCAACCAGAAAGUCACGGCUAACUACGUGCCAGCAGCCGCGGUAAUACGUAGGUGGCAAGCGUUAUCCGGAUUUAUUGGGCGUAAAGCGAGCGCAGGCGGUUGCUUAGGUCUGAUGUGAAAGCCUUCGGCUUAACCGAAGAAGUGCAUCGGAAACCGGGCAACUUGAGUGCAGAAGAGGACAGUGGAACUCCAUGUGUAGCGGUGGAAUGCGUAGAUAUAUGGAAGAACACCAGUGGCGAAGGCGGCUGUCUGGUCUGCAACUGACGCUGAGGCUCGAAAGCAUGGGUAGCGAACAGGAUUAGAUACCCUGGUAGUCCAUGCCGUAAACGAUGAGUGCUAGGUGUUGGAGGGUUUCCGCCCUUCA